UGUAGACCCGAAGCGGGGUGAUCUACCCAUGUCCAGGGUGAAGCGGCUGUAAGAGGUCGUGGAGGCCCGAACCCACCUAGGUUGCAAACUGGGGGGAUGAGGUGUGGGUAGGGGUGAAAGGCCAAUCAAACUCCGUGAUAGCUGGUUCUCCCCGAAAUGCAUUUAGGUGCAGCGUUACAUGUUGCACGGGCGUGGUAGGGCGCUGAUUGGGUGAUGGGCCGUGUCGGUUACUGAGCUCAGUUAAACUUCGAAUGCGUCUGUGUUGAGUGUGGCAGUGAGUCGGCGGGUGAGAAGAUCCGUCGUCGAGAGGGAAACAGCCCAGAUUACCGGCUAAGGCCCCUAAGGGUGUACUGAGUGGAAAAGGAUGUGGGAUCGCGUUGACAGCCAGGAGGUUGGCUUAGAAGCAGCCAUCCUUGAAAGAGUGCGUAAUAGCUCACUGGUCGAGUGGUUCCGCGCCGAUAAUGUAGCGGGGCUGAAGUACACCGCCGAAGCCGUAGCAAUGCCUGGUUCCUUUGGGAGCUGGGGUUGGGUAGGGGAGCGUCGUGCACGCGGUGAAGCCAGAGCGUGAGCUAGCCCUUAAGGGUGUGCUGGUGGAGUGUGUGCGAGUGAGAAUGCAGGCAUGAGUAGCGAAACACCUGUGAGAAUCAGGUGCGCCGAUUGACUAAGGGUUCCAGAGGACGGUUGUUCCGCUCUGGGUUAGUCUGGGCCUAAGGCGAGGCCGAGAGGCGUAGUCGAUGGAUAACCGGUUGAUAUUCCGGUACCCGAGUAUCGCGUAUGAGUGAUAGCGGUUGUGCUAACCGGCUGGAAGCGUGCGUCGGGUGUCCUUCGGGAUGCUUGGUGUGGGUGACUGGUUGGGGUCCCUGCCGUGUGUAGCGUAGUGAUGGGGUGACGCAGUGGGGUAGUCGUACCGUCUGGUGGAUCAGGCGGGGUAAGGUGGUAGCCCGUUUUCCCAGGCAAAUCCGGGAGAACAGCAGCGAGAGUUGCAGGGUGAGCGCUGAAGCAUAGCCCUUGAGGGUGAAUUCGGUGAUCCCGUGCUGUCGAGAAAAGCCUCUAGCGAGUGGUAUUCGGCCAGUACCCUAAACCGACACUGGUGGUCAGGUAGAGUAUACUGAGGCGUUCGAGUGAUGUGUGGUUAAGGAACUCGGCAAAUUGCCUCCGUAACUUCGGGAGAAGGAGGGCCCCUGUUCGUGGUGCGAAGCGCACGGAAGCGAAGGGGG
rnacentral:rRNA from 1 species